rnacentral:sRNA from 1 species
GGGUAUGGUGGAGCACACCUGUAAUCCAUGCUGCUGGGGAGGAGGCUAAGGCUAGUGGAUUGCUUUAACUUGGGAAUUCUGACUUGCAGUAGGAAUAAAGCCAAUAUGAUUGUCUGCACUGUUGGGUACCAACACAGUGAGCUUCUGGGAGUGGGGGGCCACUAGGCUGCCUAAAGAGAGAUGAACAGACUUUGGGUAGAAACAGAUUGAGUCAAAGUUUCUAUGCUGAUCAGCUGUGUGAAUGUCUGCCUCACAUUUAGCCUGAUAUAGGAAGACUCAGUCUCA